UGGCUGUCGUCAGGAGAGAGUCGAAGUGCCGUUGCGCGGCGCCUUGGCCGCCGAAGGCGUAAACCCGGGAUCGCCGGGUGUACCGCUCAGGCAAAAGGACUGAUGACACCCU
rnacentral:ncRNA from 2 species